UGAGAGAAUGCAUCAGAGCCCUGUUGGGGACAACAUGAGUCUUUAUGUCAGAGCUGUACACAACUCAUGAAUUUUUCUAAGGGUGACAACUGUUUCUUUUUGUAGCCGACAUUGCAUUUAAGUUGGGGUUCAAUUAUAGUUGUACUCUCACAAGAAUAAUCUUGUGUCGGCAGGUGUGAAAUAAAAAACGGCAAACAUGUUUUUAACAGUUCCAAACUUAUCCAUAAUUCUAUGGCUCUUUCAAUCAUAUGAUCUAUUGACACCAAUACCUGACUGCAUGCCAUGCAGAGAA